rnacentral:rRNA from 1 species
UACGAAGGGGGCUAGCGUUGUUCGGAAUCACUGGGCGUAAAGGGCGCGUAGGCGGCUGUUCAAGUCGGGGGUGAAAUCCCGUGGCUCAACCACGGAAUGGCCUUCGAUACUGGACGGCUCGAGGCCGGAAGAGGUGAGUGGAACUGCGAGUGUAGAGGUGAAAUUCGUAGAUAUUCGCAAGAACACCAGUGGCGAAGGCGGCUCACUGGUCCGGUUCUGACGCUGAGGCGCGAAAGCGUGGGGAGCAAACAGG